rnacentral:sRNA from 1 species
GUGGGCAGGACGCCCAUACGGGGAAAAGUCCGUCGAGUUUUCGACAGAAAACUCGCAGCUGAAAAAUGUACUCUGGAUGUACAUUUUUCAGCAGUU